rnacentral:rRNA from 1 species
UACGAAGGGGGCUAGCGUUGCUCGGAAUCACUGGGCGUAAAGGGAGCGUAGGCGGGCUAUCAAGUCUGGGGUGAAAUGUCGCGGCUUAACCGCGGAACUGCCUCAGAUACUGACGGCCUCGAGGGAGAUAGGGGCAUGCGGAACUGUAGGUGGAGCGGUGAAAUGCGUUGAUAUCUACAGGAACUCCGGUGGCGAAAGCGGCGUGCUGGAUCUCUUCUGACGCUGAGGCUCGAAAGCUAGGGGAGCAAACGGG